rnacentral:rRNA from 1 species
UACGGGGGGGGCAAGCGUUGUUCGGAAUUACUGGGCGUAAAGGGCUCGUAGGUGGCCAACUAAGUCAGACGUGAAAUCCCUCGGCUUAACCGGGGAACUGCGUCUGAUACUGGAUGGCUGGAGUUUGGGAGAGGGAUGUGGAAUGCCCGGUGGAGCGGUGAAAUGCGUAGAGAUCGGGCGGAACACCAAUAGCGAAGGCAGCUCGCUGGGACGGUACUGACGCUGAGGCGCGAAAGCGUGGGGAGCGAACAGG